AACGCACAUUGCACUCUAUUUCGGUAGAGUAUGCCUGUUUGAGAAUCUAUAGUAUUCAUUUUCCUAUAUUCUUGUAGUAUGGGAAAGAUUUGAAGCGUCCCACUAACACUGGGUGCUUUUAAAACUAUAGCUGUUCACUAUUGUAGUAAUGCCUGACGUUCUAUAUAGUGCAGAAAAGUAUGUGCAUGAACCUUUGGGUUUCUCUAGUACUGAUUAUGCGACUGUAGAGCUUAGUUGCUAUAGUAAUGUGCACUCACCUAUUAAAGUAUAGCGGCUUUCGGGCAGUUAUACUUGAACCAUGGUCUCAAAUCAGGUAGGAAGACCCGCUGAACUUAA
rnacentral:misc_RNA from 1 species